rnacentral:rRNA from 1 species
AUUGAACGCUGGCGGCAGGCCUAACACAUGCAAGUCGAGCGAGCGGCGGACGGGUGAGUAAUGUAUGGGGACUGCCCGAUAGAGGGGGAUAACACUGGGAAACGGUGGCUAUUACCGCAUAUUAUCGGAGACCCCAUAUGGGAUUAGCUCGUAGGGGAGGUAUUGGCUCACCUAGGCGACGAGCCCUAGCUGGUCUGAGAGGAUGAUCAGCCACACUGGGACUGAGACACGGCCCAGACUCCUACGGAGGCAGCAGUGGGGAAUAUUGCACAAUGGGCGCAAGCCUGAUGCAGCCAUGCCGCGUGUAUGAAGAAGGCCCUAGGGUUGUAAAGUACUUUCAGUCGGGAGGCGUUACCGACAGAAGAAGCACCGGCUAACUCCGUGCCAGCAGCCGCGGUAAUUC